CCCUUAGAUGUUCGGGGCCGCACGCGCGCUACACUGAAGGACUCAGCGUGUCUCUCCCCCUAUCCCGAAAGGGAUGGGCAACCCGUUGAACCUCCUUCGUGCUAGGGAUUGGGGUUUGCAAUUAUCCCCCAUGAACGAGGAAUUCCCAGUAAGCGCGAGUCAUCGGCUCGCGUUGAUUACGUCCCUGCCCUUUGUACACACCGCCCGUCGCUACUACCGAUUGGAUGGUUUAGUGAGACCCUCGGAUCGGUCCCGACUCGGGGUGGGCUUCUGCCCCGGUCGUGGUUUCGCCGAGAAGACGGUCAAACUUGACUAUCUAGAGGAAGUAAGAGUCGUAACA
rnacentral:rRNA from 1 species